UACGGGGGGUGCAAACGUUGCUCGGAUUUACUGGGCGUAAAGGGCGCGUAGGCGGUCAGCACAAGUCAGUUGUGAAAUCUCCGGGCUUAACUCGGAAAGGUCAACUGAUACUGUGCGACUAGAGUGCGGAAGGGGCAACUGGAAUUCUCGGUGUAGCGGUGAAAUGCGUAGAUAUCGAGAGGAACACCUGCGGCGAAGGCGGGUUGCUGGGCCGACACUGACGCUGAUGCGCGAAAGCCAGGGGAGCGAACGGG
rnacentral:rRNA from 1 species